ensembl:snoRNA SNORD22 Small nucleolar RNA SNORD22
UCUCAGUGAAGGGACAUUCAUGUGUCUCACUUUCUACCCUCAAUCCAAUACAACUGGCAAGGUGAACACAUUUGAUCUGGCUUGGGGAGAAGCGGAAAUUUUAUUCCAAAAGGAAUUGUCUUGGGUU